UGGGAUGAGAAAUGCAGAGAGGCGAUUAAGAAUAGAAAUAGAGCUUUUAAAGUGCUGAAGAGGACUCAUAAUUAUCAGCAUAUGAUUGAGUAUAAGAGACAACAGGCAGUGGUCAGGAGGACCAUAAGGGAAACAAAAAGGACUUACUGGAGGGGAUACUGUAACACUAUUGGGCACACAACCACGGUAACAGAGAUUUGGGGUAUGAUACGGAAGAUGGGGGGGGAUAGACGGGCGUGGGGCUAUCCGAUUCUAUCUGAUGGAGAUGAAUCAGCCAUUACAAAUGAGGAGAAGGCAGAAAUGAUGGUGAAUGCUCUCAGCAAGGUUCAUAGCUCUGACAAUCUAUCAGCUGAAGAGAGGAGGUGUAGAGAGGAAACCAAAAGUAUACAUGUUGGAGUUGUCCAGAGGAAGGGCAAUGUAGAUGAUAAGUACAACGUUCCGUUUACAAUGGGGGAGCUGAGGAGGGCACUGGCGAGUUGCAAGGACUCCGCUCCAGGGAAGGAUGGUGUCUGCUAUGCCAUGUUGAGACACCUAAGGGAGGCGGGGUUGAGAGUGCUGCUCCAUCUUUAUAAUAGGGUCUGGGAGGAGGGUCUGAUCCCGUCAGGAUGGAAGGAGGCAACGAUCAUUCCCAUUAGGAAACCGGGGAAGGAUGCAAGUAACCCUUCAAGUUAUAGGCCUAUAGCCUUGACUUCCCAUGUGGGGAAGCUGAUGGAGAGGCUUGUCAACGGAAGGCUGAUGCACCUGGUGGAGGAGAGGGGACUGGUGGCAAACUAUCAGAAUGGAUUCAGGGUAGGGAGAAGCACCUCUGAUUCAGUGCUGUGUUUAAAGGAUGAAAUAAGGAAAGCCCAGGUGAUGAAAGAAUCUGUGGUGGCUGUGUUUUUAGAUGUUGAAAAGGCAUAUGACAUGCUGUGGGUAGAAGGUCUUUUAAUUAAGAUGCAUUUGAUGGGGGUGGGAGGGCGUGUGUUUAAUUGGGUCAUGGACUUUUUAAACAACAGAAGCAUCCAGGUUAAGAUAGGAUCAGACUUAUCCAGGAAGUGUCAUGUAGAAAAUGGAACCCCUCAGGGGAGUGUUAUCAGUCCCCUCCUUUUCAACAUAAUGAUUAAUGAUAGUUUUGUGGCUGUGCAUCCGGGAAUUGGGAAAUCACUGUUUGCAGAUGAUGGUGGCCUGUGGAAAAGGGGGAAAAACAUGAACCAUACUGUAAAGGCAGUCCAGGACGCAUUAUCCCAAGUGGAAGGCUGGGGGAGGAAAUGGGGAUUUAGAUUCUCAGUGGAAAAAACUAAGGUCAUGAUCUUCUCCAGGAAAAAGAUUAAUGGGGGGGGAUAAAAUGGAGCUAUACGGUAAAAGGCUUGAGAGGGUUAAAUCUUUUAAAUUUUUGGGUGUAACUUUGACAAUCGUCUUACAUGGAGGGACCAUGUGACUAUAAUAAUGGAUAAAGGAAAGAAAGUACUAAAUGUAAUGAGAUGCCUGGCUGGGUCGGGGUGGGGAGCAAGCUCGGAGUCCCUGAGACAGAUUUAUGGGCAUCUAAUAAGAUCAAGAGUCGAAUAUGGCAGUCUGGCGUAUGGAUCAGCCUCAAAAUCAGUUCUGGCUCGACUAGAUAGGUGUUAGAAUAAUGUGCAUAAAUGUAUAUAGAAGUUAUCAUUAUUCCUCAUAUUCUUAUGAAAGAGUUUACUACAAGUAUAAACUGUUUUGACCUCUUGUUACACAUCAUAUAAGAGUGUUUUUUUUAUCAUAUAAGAGUGUUUUCUAACUUCUCUCUCCAAUUAGGAUUAUUACACAGCACAUAAAUGUUUCUUCAUGUUUCUGUGACCUUGUCUUUUCCUAUCAGCAGGUGUGUGUAUGUGUGGGUGAUGUAUCCUCCACUGUGAAUCGUGGGAAGUAAUGAGGAGGAUCCGCUCUUAUCAGAAGGAGCUCGUUUGAUGCAACAAUGUCGCCUUGACCUUCACAUAUUCACAGUUGUUCAUUAUUAUGUUUUAUGAGAAUGCUUACGUUGCUGCACAUACUUUCCCCCCACCCUUUAGAAACAUUGUGUAACCAGGGACAACCCUAAAUAAAAGAGGGAGGACAGAAAACCACCUUCAGAGUGGUUUUGAGAUUUUACCUGAUGCUAUCUCUGUCCAUUCUCCUCGAGCAUAUACCAUUGUCUUUCUCUUCUUUAUAUGUUUUCAGGUAUUCGGGCAGGUUUUAGACCCAACAAUAGGCUCCAAGCUAUGCCGCUCAGGAUUUGUCUGGGGGCUGUGCGCUCGUCCCCAGUGUGCUCGUCCCUAGUGUGCUCUCUUCAGGUUCAGACAGGGGAAAUGCCACUUGACCUGAGAAGGAAGCAGCUUCAGGCCAACUACUGGGUCAAUUUGAUAGGACAGGGGGAUGAGCACCCGGCUAAGGUAGCUUUUCAAGAGACCUGGGAAAGGGGAGCGGGGAGGAUGCGAAGCUUUGGAUGGACUGGGGAGGAAGUGACACAGGACACUGGAAUAUAUAGAGAAACAUUCUGCCCGGCGAUGAUGUGGCCUGUGAUGCCUCUUUGACUGUUAGAGACCCCAAAUGUGGACCUGGAGCUACUGGGGGCAAGAUCAAGGACUGGAGAGGCUGAUGUGAUCUGUCAGUUUCAGGACCGGGUGGAGGAGAAGUACAGGAGUCAUGUGAUAAUGUUCACGGAUGGGUCGAAAGAUCAAGCCACAGGUGGUACCGGGGCAGCCUUUUUAGUGUGUGGAAUGAAUGUGCAGGUGUGUAGGAGGACGUGAAAUUCCCUCAGUGUUUUUACAGUCGAGUUUUUUGCAAUUUUAAUGGCGGUGCAAUGGGCUGGUCAGCUUGAGGACUGUGAAGUGCUGGUGUGCAGCGACUCGAUGUCUGCAGUCAAAAGCAUCGGGAUGGGCUCAGCUAGGGGCCGGCAGGACCUUGUAUAUGAGGUGCUGCUGGCGCUUAGAGAUGUGGCUAGGAGGGGGGUGAGGGUUUCGUUUAUGUGGGUGCCUGCACAUGUUGGGAUUGGGGCAAAUGAGAGGGUGGACAGGCUGGCGAAGGAAGUCGUAAAACGAGAGCUGGUGGAUGUCAAACUAAACCUGUCAAAGUCUGAGGGGAAAAGUGUGGUGUAUGAGAAGAUAAUUCAACAGUGGCAACAUCGAUGGGAGAGGGAGAAUAAAGGAAGACAUCUAUUUUCAAUAACUGGAGUUGUCUCCAAUUCUAUGGGUGUCGGUAAAGGGGGUGGGUGGAGGAGGAAGGAGGAAGUCACAUUUUCUAGGUUGAAGUUAGGUCACACACAGUUGAAUAGUUCACUGUUUUUAAUUGGAAAACACCCAGACGGAUUGUUCUCCGUAUGCCAGGAGUCAGAGACGGUGCAACAUGUUUUUAUUUCUUGUAGUUGUUACAACCGGGACAGGCAGAUACUGAUGGAAAAAGUGCGGGAAGUGGGGCUUGAGGAGAUGACAGUUGCAGCUCUCUUGGAGGCGGGGAGGAGGGGGAGAGGCAAAUACUGGCUGUUUGAGUUUUUAAGCACCACAAGAUUGAUGCAAAGGAUAUAACUAUGUAGUGCUGUGAAGAUCCAGCAGGAGGCAGCAAUGCAACUAAUGGAUGCAAGCUGUUGUUAAACAACAAAGAAGAAGAAGAAGCGGAGCGGUUGACUAUAGCUGCGUCCGAAUUGCCAAGUAGUAGUCGAAGUAGUAGUCGAAGUAGUAUCUAGCAUGUCCGAAUUGGCCACCGGAGCGAGUAGCAUGCUACUUCAGAUACUACUUCAGAUACUAGACACGCCCACAUUGUAGGUUGGUCGCGGUGCAUCCUACGGGCAUGCUACUGACCCAAAAUGCACUGCGGGCUUCUUUUUCGUCCUCUUAAAAGUUGUAGAAGCGCAUGUGAUGCUAGCGCCACCAGCAUAGAUGCGUCGCGAACGCCGGCUAGCCACAGCAGCGCGCACCAUGGCGGUUUCAUGUAACUUCACACACUGUUCUAAAAAAUGUGCGGUUGUAUCUCUUUGUCAUGUCAUGGUGUCAUAUUUGCCCAAGUAAUCAUUUUAUGAGCAAAUAUGUGGCGACAUCAUGGAAGUACAGCUCACUUAUUCCAUCAUUAAACUGCACAGCUGCAGUACUACAGCCAGGCCAGCAGAUGAGGGGCUUCAGUUACCACUGUCUGCACGGGCGCAGUACCUACUUUCUGCCUGCGGGGGCCGUCUUUCCCCACCACUCAUCUAGUGUGUCCGAAUUGGGCCAACGUGUUUAGUAUGUAGGAGUAGGAUCUAGCAGUAGCAUGUAGCAGUAGCAUGUAGUAUCCGAGCGGGCAAUUCGGACACAGCAUUUACCAAGAUGAGGACGGAGAGAUGGCAGAGGGAAGUGACGCAGUAGGAAGUGAGAUGGAGGAGGGAGUUUGGAAUAUUGCAGGUGAACAGUGUCUGAACAGGAAAAAACGGAAGAAAGUAGCAAAGGAGGCAGCAAGGAGAGGGGAUUAUAAUUCAUCGGUUUCGACCAGUGAAGGGGAGCAAAGUGCAAGGCCAAAGCAAAUUGAGGAAUACAAAGUAAUCAUUAGAAUGACUCAGGAAGGACAAUCGUUUGGUGAGUGGAGCCCAGUUAAGCUGACAAAAGCCAUCCAUAAAGUUUUUGGGGAAGUAAAAAGGGUGAAAGUUCUGCGAAGUGGGGCAUUGCUGGUCCUGUGUAGGGAUGGGGCACAGCAAGGAAAAGCAAUAAGAAUGAGUAGAAUGGAGGGAAAGUCUGUAGUGUGCUCGAUGCCAGAAGUGAGGAAAGUGGCUGUGGGGGUUAUAUCAAAUAUUCCCACGGCUAUUACCUGUGAUGAGAUCAGAGAUAAUAUAGAGGGGGCAAGAGUGCUGGAAGUGCAGAGACUAAAAACAAACAGAAACGGAGAGAAGACGGACAGUCUCUCUGUCAAAAUCAGGUUUGAGGAACCAAAGCUGCCAGAUAAAGUAUACAUCGGAUACAUGUGCUAUGAAGUAAGGCCAUUUAUCCCCCCACCGCUUAGGUGCUUCAAGUGCCAGAAAUAUGGACAUGUUGCAGCGGUCUGCAGGGGUAAACAGAAAUGUGGGAGAUGUGCGGGGGAUCAUGAAUAUGGUAAAUGCCAAGAAGGGGCUAAGAUAAAAUGCUGCAACUGCGGGGGGGAGCACACCUCGGCGUAUUGAGGUUGUGAAGCAGGCAAGAAGGCGGCAGAAAUUCAAAAAGUAAAAACAUCGAUGGGAAUAUCCUAUGCAGAAGCAGCGAAGAAAGUGGGGGCGAGCCAUAUUGAUCCAGCAAAAAUGGUGAGGGCUGACGCCAGCAACAGAGUUGAAGCUAGUGGGUCUAAAGCAAAAGAAAAUACACUUACAGUGAGUAAGAAUGACUUUGUAUUAUUCAUGGUAGAAGUGAUAAAUUGCUCAGCGCAAACAAACAGCAAAACGGAGAAGAUCAAGAUCAUUAUCAAGGCUGCAGAGAAGUACCUUGACAUCAAGGGGCUUAGUUGUGAAAAGGUACAAGAAACAUUAGCUGGAGAAAUGUUUGAUUCGCAGACAUGGGGUGGAAACUCCUCAUGGUCCUAGCUAUUCUACAGUGGAAUGCUAGAAGUCUUAUUGCUAAUGGUCAAGAAUUUAAGAAAUUUAUCGAAGAAAGGUGUGAAAAGCCGCAAAUAAUAUGUAUUCAAGAGACAUGGCUAAAGUCACAGUGGGAUUUCACAUUAAACGGGUACACGUCAGUAAGAAAUGACAGAGAAUGUAGAAGCGGGGGAGGAGUGGCCACAUUCAUUAAAAGAGGAGUGAAUUAUAGGUUGGAAAAAGCAAGUGAUGAACAUGAGUCAAUAGUAAUACGAAUAUGGACAGAAAAUAAUAAUGUGACAAUAAUAAAUUAUUAUAAUCCAGGGAAUAGACUGUCCAGGGAGGUACUUAAUGAAGCAGGUGGACAGGUGGCGGGGAGGGUAGUAUGGUGCGGAGAUUUUAACGCACACAAUACUGUGUGGGGGAGCAUGACUACAGAUUUCAAUGGGAAGAUAAUAAUAGAAUUCAUAGAUGACUGUGAGAUGGUAUGUGUUAAUGACGGCCGGGGCACUCGAUACAACACCUCGAGAAAUACUGAAAGUGCAAUAGAUCUCACUCUAAUGUCGGCUGGGAUGGCAGGAAUUAGUACAUGGGAAGUACUACAAUAUACAACUAUGGGGAGUGAUCACUAUCCAAUAAUCUGCAGAAUAGGAGUUAGCCCAAUACAGGAUAGCGAGGAAAGACCGCCAAAGUGGAAGUUAGAAAGUGCUAAUUGGGAAAGAUUCCGGGACAUCACUGAAAGUACAUUGAGGGAAAUAGAUGAGGAAAGUAUAACGAGUGAGGAAUUUAAUGAGAGAGUGGUGGGAGCAAUAAGAGUAGCAGCAGAAAGAUCAAUUCCGCAAGUAAAGGGAAAGAGAACAAGGAAGAGCGUGCCAUGGUGGAAUGAGGACUGUAGCAGAGCAAUCAAGGAAAGAAAUAGAGCAUUUAGGAAUUUAAAAAGACAUCACACACUGGAGUCAUUGACAAAGUACAAGAGAGCACAGGCAGUAGUGCGCAGAGUUGUGCGCCAAGCUAAGAGGACAUCCUGGAGACAGUAUUGUAAUAAGAUAGGACGAGAAACAAAAUUGACAGAGAUAUGGGGAAUGAUUAGGAAAAUGAGUGGAAUUAAAACAAAUCAUGAAAUCCCAGGGCUACAGGUCGAUAACCAAGUGGUAGUGGGGAAUGACAGAGCGGAGGUUCUUGCAGAGGCAUUUGUCAAGGUGCAUAGUUCUGCAAACCUAACUCUGAAUGCUAAAAGUAACAGAGAAAUGAUGAUAGGAAAAAACAAGGGUAUUAGGGGUAAAAAAACAAUAUCUAGGGAGGGAAUUAAUGUGCCAUUUAGUAUGUUUGAAAUAAAGAGAGCAAUAGCUAAAGCAAAACAGAUGACACCAGGUAAGGAUGGAAUAUGUUAUGGAAUGUUGGCACAGAUGAGUGACAGAGCCCUUAAAAUUGUAUUAAACCUAUAUAAUAAAGUGUGGGAGUCAGGUAAAAUCCCAACCAAGUGGAAAGAGUCAGUUAUAGUUCCUAUACCAAAACCAGGGAAAGAUCAGUCAGACCCAGCUAGUUAAUGGCCCAUUGCACUAACGUCUCAGCUGGGGAAAAUAAUGGAGCGAAUGGUUAUGGAACGGUUACAUUACUAUUUAGAGAGCAAAAACCUCAUGUCAACGUAUCAAAGUGGUUUUCGCAAAGGAAGAGGGACUAUGUAUAAUGUAUUAGUGUUAGAAUCAGAGAUUAGGAAAGCUCAAGCUAAUAAGGAAAUAGUUCUAGCAGUCUUUUUUGAUGUGGAGAAGGCAUAUGAUAUGCUGUGGAAGGAAGGUCUCCUUAUUAAAAUGAACAAAUUGGGAAUCACAGGAAAUAUGUACAAUUGGGUAUUGAGUUUUUUUGUUUGAUCGGAAGAUUGAGGUGAGGACAGGCACUUACUACUCCAGACAGUACAGUGUAGAAAAUGGGACGCCCCAAGGAAGUGUGUGCAGUCCAACUUUGUUUAAUAUUAUGAUAAAUGAUAUCUUUGAGCAACUCCAUCCAAGUGUAGGGAAGUCAUUAUUUGCAGAUGAUGGGGCCUUGUGGACUAGGGGGCGCAAUUUACAAUAUUUACAGCAGAAACUGCAAUGUGCGAUUGGGAGAGUGGAACGGUGGGCGGAUAACUGGGGAUUUAAAUUCUCAGUGAGCAAGACACAGACUAUAUGCUUUGCAAAAAGACAAGGAAGUGGAAUUAUAUCUAUAUGGCCAAAAAAUAGAACAGGUCGGAGAAGUAAGAUUUUUGGGAUUGUGGCUAGAUGAAAAAUUAACAUGGAGACAGCAUAUAGACAGGCUUGUUAACAAAUGUAAAAAAGUGAAUAAUUUAUUAAAAUGUGUAUCGGGAAGGGACUGGGGAGCAUCAAGAAUGUCACUGUUAGGUAUAUACCAAGCUGUGAUGAGAGCUGCAUUAGACUAUGGGUGCAUAGCAUAUAUGUCAGCUGCAGACACUCACUUGAAGAAAUUAGAGGUGCAGCAGGCACAAGGGCUGAGAAUUUGUUGUGGAGCAUAUAAAACCUCCCCAGUAGCAGCUAUACAGGUUGAAACAGGAGAACAGCCACUGAGAAUCAGAAGAAUGAAAAUUAUGUUGGCAUACUGGACUAAUAUAAAGGGGCACAGGGAGGAUCACCCCACGAAGAGUACCCUGAGGGAAUGUUGGGAAUAUGGAAACAGUAGUGCAGCCAGUUUUGGUAGAAUUGGGAAUGAAGUUGCGGAAAGGGCGGGUUUAAAUCGGAUUCAGGUCUGUAAAACGGUUCCAGUUUCAAGGAUUCCCCCAUGGCUUUUUGUAAUGCCAGAAGUGGAUUUUGAGAUCAAAAAACUUCUUAAGGCAGUGAAGAGACAAAGUACAGCUGGGUUUGUAGCCUUGGAAUAUUUGGAAGAGAGAUAUGGCAAUACUCAAAUAGUAUUCACAGGUGGAUCAAAAGACCCAGAUACUGGCCGAACUGGGGCUGCAGCGUAUAUCCCUACGAAAAUAUUAAAAUAAAGCAGAGGUGUUCAGAUUAUGUAUCAGUGUAUGCAGUAGAGAUAGCAGCAAUAAUAAUGGCAUUACAGUGGAUAAAAGCUCAAAGGAAGAACAAAUCAGUCAUAGCAUCAGACAGCUGGGCGGCUCUUUCAAGCCUACAAACCAUGAAAUCUUGUAGACUAGAUCUUAUAUAUGAGGUACACAGUAACCUGUAUGAAAUCUGGGAAAGAGGGCUGGGUGUGAGUUUUGUGUGGGUUCCUGCCCACGUGGGAAUAGAGGGAAAUUAAGAGGCGGAUAGGUUGGCAAAGCAGUCGUUAAGACAACAGGACAUAGACCUACAAGUCAGGUUAAGUAAAGCAGAAGAAAAGGCACUCAUAGAAAAAUACAGUCGGGAACAGUGGCAAGAAUAUUGGGAAUCGGUAGAAACGGGCAGACAUUUGUUUUCAAUACAGAGACAGGUGGGAGAGGGAAGAAGGAUUGGAAGGAACCGGAAGGAAGAAACAACAUUAACACGGUUAAGGAUCGGUCAUACAGGGUUAAAUGGAACAUUGAAUAAAAUAGGUAAACACACAGAUGGAAAAUGUCAACAGUGUGGGGUAACGGAAUCAGUGCAGCAUGUGCUGAUGGAAUGUGUGCGAUACGAAGAAGAGAGGAAGACCUUGAAAACAGAAAUGGAGAAAGAAAAAGAAUCAUUUAAAUUAGAAAACUUGUUAAAAGUGGACAAUAGGGCAAGGCUGGGGCGACUGAUGGAUUUUGUGCGGGAUACAAGGUUAAUACAAAGGAUUUAGGACUCUCCGUCACUAAAAGGUUUUAGUCUGUAACUGCCUAAUCUCCUGUUCUACCGUAGACUCAGUAGGUGGCGGUAAUGCUCCAGACA